UCCAAUACACCCCUCUUAUUAAUUAUUCCAUCUGUCAAAUUAAAACGCCGGGCUAUUGACCUAGCGAUUUUUCUCCGGAAGCUCUCUCCACGAACAGUGCUCUCUCUCCAGCACACACUCUCUCUCCCAAUUAGCGCUCAAGCACACACUCUCUCUCAAUCAGCUCUCUCGGUUUCGGGGGUUGCGCGGAAUGCAUUGCUUAAGUUAAUUCAUGAAAAUUCCUCUUCCAUGCGCAACAAUCUGUAUGGCAGGAAGAUAAUUGCAUGUCUGGAGAAGACAAAGAAUAACGUGAUGUGGUCAUUGAACUGUUGAAAGAGUCUCCAGAUUAGUUGUGCUGUUGAAAAAUCUGAAAAUAACUUUGAUGUUCAGUUGUUUUACAUGGUCAAGUAGCGAAACUUUGGUGUGUAGUUGAAAUAGGUGCCUUGUAUUAGUAUCGUAAACUUUGAUGGAUGCUUGUAUGAGACUUGUCGAUUUUUAUUUUAUACUUAUUUUGAUGAAGUUCAUUUAUAAAA